GGGGUUGUAGCUCAGCGGUAGAGUACUCACCUUGCACGAGACCCUGGGUUCAAUCCUCAGUACCACG
rnacentral:tRNA from 1 species